rnacentral:rRNA from 1 species
GACGAACGCUGGCGGCGUGCUUAACACAUGCAAGUCGAACGGAAAGGCCCUGCUUUUGUGGGGUGCUCGAGUGGCGAACGGGUGAGUAACACGUGAGUAACCUGCCCUUGACUUUGGGAUAACUUCAGGAAACUGGGGCUAAUACCGGAUAGGAGCUCCUGCUGCAUGGUGGGGGUUGGAAAGUUUCGGCGGUUGGGGAUGGACUCGCGGCUUAUCAGCUUGUUGGUGGGGUAGUGGCUUACCAAGGCUUUGACGGGUAGCCGGCCUGAGAGGGUGACCGGCCCAAUGGGGACGGGGUAACGGCCCGACUCCCUCCGGGGGGAAGCGGGGGGGAAUUUGGCCCAAGGGGGGGAAGCCUGAGGCAGCACCGCCGGGGGGGGGAGGCCGGCUUUGGGGUGGAAACCCCCUUUCCCCUGGGAGGAAGGGGGGGGACCGGAAAUGGGAAAAGAAGCACCGCUAACUUACUG